AUGUUCCCGCUCUGUACCUUCAAUCUCCCCGAUAUGUUCCUGCUCUGUACCUUCAAUCUCCCUUCUGUACCUUCAAUCUCCCCCGAUAUGUUCCUGCUCUGUACCUUCAAUCUCCCCCGAUAUGUUCCUGCUCUGUACCUUCAAUCACCCCGAUAUGUUCCUGCUCUGAACCUUCAAUCUCCCCGAUAUGUUCCCGCUCUGUACCUUCAAUCUCCCCGAUAUGUUCCUGCUCUGUACCUUCAAUCUCCCCGAUAUGUUCUAGCUCUGUACCUUCAAUCUCCCCCGAUAUGUUCCUGCUCUGUACCUUCAAUCUCCCCCGAUAUGUUCCUGCUCUGUACCUUCAAUCUCCCCCGAUAUGUUCCCGCUCUGUACCUUCAAUCUCCCCGAUAUGUUCCCGCUCUGUACCUUCAAUCUCCCCGAUAUGUUCCCGCUCUGUACCUUCAAUCUCCCCGAUAUGUUCCCGCUCUGUACCUUCAAUCUCCCCCAUAUGUUCCUGCUCUGUACCUUCAAUCUCCCCGAUAUGUUCCUGCUCUGUACCUUCAAUCUUCCUUCUGUACCUUCAAUCUCCCCCGAUAUGUUCCUGCUCUGCACCUUCAAUCUCCCCGAUAUGUUCCUGCUCUGAACCUUCAAUCUCCCCGAUAUGUUCCCGCUCUGUACCUUCAAUCUCCCCCGAUAUAUUCCUGCUCUGUACCUUCAAUCUUCCUGAUAUGUUCCUGCUCUGUACCUUCAAUCUUCCUUCUGUACCUUCAAUCUCCCCCGAUAUGUUCCUGCUCUGUACCUUCAAUCUCCCCGAUAUGUUCCUGCUCUGAACCUUCAAUCUCCCCGAUAUGUUCCCGCUCUGUACCUUCAAUCUCCCCCGAUAUAUUCCUGCUCUGUACCUUCAAUCUUCCUGAUAUGUUCCCGCUCUGUACCUUCAAUCUUCCUGAUAUGUUCCCGCUCUGUACCUUCAAUCUCCCCCGAUAUGUUCCUGCUCUGUACCUUCAAUCUCCCCGAUAUGUUCCCGCUCUGUACCUUCAAUCUCCCCCGAUAUGUUCCUGCUCUGUACCUUCAAUCUCCCCGAUAUGUUCCCGCUCUGUACCUUCAAUCUCCCCCGAUAUGUUCCCGCUCUGGACCUUCAGUUGGUUAUUGGAAAUCGGACACAGUUUCCUUCUUUACAGAAGGAUGCACUGGAUUUAUAUAUAA
rnacentral:lncRNA from 1 species